GGAGUGGUUGUUCGACUAUCCGGCGCCCGAGUAGGCGGGUAGCCGGCCUGAGAGGGCGACCGGCCACACUGGGACUGAGACACGGCCCAGACUCCUACGGGAGGCAGCAGUGGGGAAUAGGAUGACGGCCUUCGGGUUGUAAACCUCUUUCAGCAGGGAAGAAGCGAAAGUGACGGUACCUGCAGAAGAAGCGCCGGCUAACUACGUGCCAGCAGCCGCGGCCA
rnacentral:rRNA from 1 species